CCUUUCUUGAUUCCUGAAGUAUAUUAUAAAGAAAAAAAACUCAUCGAAGGAAAGCAUUGAAUAUCUUAUGAAAAAUGUCGUUCCUUUGAUUUCUUGUAAUGAAAAGAAAAACUUUUUUUUAAAUCUAUAGAAAAUGAAACGAACUUCCCUAACAAAGAAUGAAUAAAUAUUCAUUUUCCCUACAUAACGAUUUCUUGCCUACGUUGACUUCGUCUCCUACAUCCGUCACUUUAUCCAAAGAUUCUUUAUCAUUUUUAUGUUCGGCAUCUAAUUAUUUGGGAGAAGAUACUCCACCAACAUUAUCGGCUAAUUUAUUACAAGGUAUCACUCAACAUUAAAUUGUUUCAUUUAACUAAUUUCGAAUCCACCCCAUUUUCUAUUAUUAUUAGACUCAGCAUGCUAUUUUGAUUGAACUGAUCAACCCAUUUUGAUCCAGAAAAAGACUCUCACAUGAAUAGGCAACUGAAGUGUUUAAAUCACAUGGCAACAGAAAUAAAAUGUUUUAUUCAUGCUAAGAGUGUGAUUUGCACAGUAAUUAUUUGAAGAAGGAGAUAAAAAAAUGUGGAACUUGUAAACAGUGCAGGAAAAAAUAUUUUUUUAAAUUCUGCGAAAUAUGUACGAAAUACAACUGAUAACCUCUGGAUGUAAUUUAUGUACAUAUUAUGAAUUACUUCUACAUCGAACCUCGAAUUUUCAACAAAUGACAUUUAUCUCUCCAUAUCUGUGUGUUUGUUUUUUUCUCUUCAUCUACAUAUUCUAAGGCAUUUCUAACCUUGUUAAAAAAUUGUCAUCAUUUUUUCUUCAUAUAUUGUGAUAGACGAUAUUUCUUGAUAUGGUAGUUUAGAAUAUUGAAAUAGCGCGUAAGCUUUCUAUUUGAAACUAUUAAUACAUGGAAAAAGGUUCUAGGUAAUUUUGUCCCAAACAUUUUCGCCCCUACAUUUUUUGCACCUACAUGUUUUCCGCUGGUAAUUUUUCCUCGAGAAGAUUUUGUGGUAUGAAACCUAUGCCUCUUUUUUAUGCUUUUCUAUUGUCGGUUCGAACUUUGCCGUUGUAUCUCAAUCAGAUUAAUUAUAAAGUCAGGAGACGAAGAAAAAAGGAAUAAUGAUGAAGAAGUGAUCCGUCAUCUUGUGCUGUUUAUAUAUUUAAUAUUAUAAAAAGGAGUAAGGAAUCACGGAUCUGGGAUGCUGAGUCUAUUUCGGAAGGACACAUUGACUUGUGGCACGUUAAUGAAGUAUAGUCGUGACCUUAGUUGAGGCUUGAAGAAAUGGAAAAAACUCAAUCGAUAGAAAGAAAAGAAUAUUUAUUGAUAAAUCUUCUUGUCCCAAAAUGGUGGGUUGCCUCAUAUUUCUCUACCGUAUCUACUUUUAUUAUCAACUAGAUUAAAUAGCUCACGAAGGCGCAUCUCUUUCCUUGGAUUAAUCUUACUUGGUCUUAGUCUUAUCCCAUUGUACUCCGGCUCGAUUUCCCUCUCAAGCUGGAAAUCACCAAAGAAUCUUAUCAGGACAAACUACUUAAGGCUAUGUCUAUCCCAGAUGGUUGGGAAAAUUGUCAUACUGGACUAUCUCUUAAUAAGUGAUCUCCUUUUUUAUAUUUCCUGAAUUACCUCCAUUACUCUCCUAAAGCCUUUUUCCCCCCAUCUUGGAACUCUGCCUCUUUCGAUCAUGCUCACUUAAGAGGGAUAUAUUGUCAACUUUGUUUGGAUCAUUGUUUAUUAGAAAAGACAUCCUCCCUGGAGGAUACCAUGUUUUCUAUACUCAAACGUUGUGGAGUACGACAUUUAAUCCCUUAAUACUUACUUUAUUACUUUUUAUUUGACGUGAUUUUGCAUUUUUUAUUUAUGUGACACCUAUUUAUACAUACUUUUUGUUCUUUUAAAUUAUCAAGUCAUUAGUUAUAACUCAUAAAAAUUAAAUAUU
rnacentral:lncRNA from 1 species